AUUGAACGCUGGCGGCAUGCUUUACACAUGCAAGUCGAGCGGAUGAGAGGAGCUUGCUUCUCGAUUCAGCGGCGGACGGGUGAGUAAUGCCUAGGAAUCUGCCUGGUAGUGGGGGACAACGUUUCGAAAGGAACGCUAAUACCGCAUACGUCCUACGGGAGAAAGCAGGGGACCUUCGGGCCUUGCGCUAUCAGAGGAGCCUAGGUCGGAUUAGCUAGUUGGUGAGGUAAUGGCUCACCAAGGCGACGAUCCGUAAAUGGUCUGAGAGGAUGAGCAGUCACACUGGAACUGAGAGACGGUCCAGACUCGUACGGGAGGCAGCAGUGGGGAAUAUUGGAAAAUGGGCGAAAGCCUGAUCAAGCCAUGCCGCGUGUGUGAAGAAGGUCUUCGGAUUGUAAAGCACUUUAAGUUGGGAGGAAGGGUUGUAGAUUAAUACUCUGCAAUUUUGACGUUACCGACAGAAUAAGCACCGGCUAACUCUGUGCCAGCCGCCGCAGUAAGAC
rnacentral:rRNA from 1 species